rnacentral:rRNA from 1 species
UCAACGGCCGCGGUAUUUUGACCGUGCAAAGGUAGCGUAAUCACUUGUUUUUUAAUGAAGACCUGUAUGAAUGGCAAAACGAGGGCUAAGCUGUCUCCUCUCUCCAGUCAAUGAAAUUGAUCUCCCCGUGAAGAAGCGGGGAUAUAAACAUAAGACGAGAAGACCCUAUGGAGCUUUAGACGCAAGACAGACUACGUUAAAUACCCCGCUUAAAGGCAAGAAACUAAGUAGGACCUGCCCCGAUGUCUUUGGUUGGGGCGACCGCGGGGUAAACUAAAACCCCCAUGUGGAAAGGCGAAACUUUCUCCUUUAUUUAGAGCUACCACUCUAGCUAUUAGAACUUCUAACUAAAAGAUCCGGCAAAGCCGAUCAACGAACCAAGUUACCCUAGGGAUAACAGCGCAAUCCCCUUCUAGAGACCCUAUCGACAAGGGAGUUUACGACCUCGAUGUUGGAUCAGGACAUCCUAAUGGUGCAGCUGCUAUUAAGGGUUCGUUUGUUCAACGAUUAAAGUCCUACGUGAUCUGAGUC